rnacentral:sRNA from 1 species
UUUGUUUUUCCAUAUGAAAUUGAGAAUUGCUCUUUCCAUGUCUGUGAAGAACUGUGAUGGAAUCCUGAUGGGGAUCGCAUUGAAACUAUAGAUUGCUUUUGGUAGGAUAGCCAUUUUUACAAGUUAAUCCUACCAAUCCAUAAGCACACCAUACUCUUUUUGAUCAGUCAAUUCCAGACUGGAAGUUGGGCUGGAGGUUACUUUUUUAGUACUUCAUUUUUAUAGGAUUACUUUUAGAAGAUGUAAGCAAAGCUCAUAAUAAUAAUAAUAACAAUACUGGAUUGUUAAUGACUUUGGAUAAAGUUAUAAUUAGGUUCAUAGGCCUUGGUCAUCUUUAUUGAACUGGUGAAUGCAUUGCAGAUGAGGCACUGCUGAGCCCUGCCAGUUUAUAGUUCUAAGUAUUCAUGUGCAACUAAAGGCAUCUUCAGAACUUUAUCUAAACUGUUCACCUAGAAGUUAAAGUUCAAAGACUUGCUCUGGGGCUUUUGGUUGGUCAGUUUUAGGCUCCCCCCUCCCCACAACCCCCCCCCAUGUGAGGCUUUAAACUGUAUACAAGGCCCUGUGGAGUUCUUGCAAUCAAGGCGAUUUCAACAUUCCCAGCUAGUUCUGACUCUUGGAAAAUGGUCUAAAGCUGGAUCAGGUGACCUUGCAGAGUGAGUUGGAGGCAGAUGUUUUCCUCCUGGGAUCCAGUUGCCAGGACUGGCUGGCAGUGGUCAUGGAACAGCUAGAGGACAAGGAGAAGUGUCAUGGCUACAGCUGCACGAUGCACAAACUCAGACCACACAUCUGAGGCAUCUCCUAUGCAUAACAUUACAGGCUGCACCAAUUCCUGCAUAUACCAGGUAGGCAAUUGGAAUCAAAAUACUUGAAGACUUAAAAAAAAAAAAAAAAAAAAAAAAAAAGCAGAUGCCACAUAUGUGCUGGACUGGGCCUUAUACCAUGGUAGGACAGGAUGAUACAAUGUGGCAUAGCUACCAUUAAGCAACUAUUCCCAGAGAAGCUAGCCUGUUCCCACAGUGUAACUGAUAGGGUAGACCUUGGCAUUUUUGCUAAAACAAUAUGUUGAAGCAAUGUGUGUAUACUGGAUUUAGGUGUAUACAGAGUUAGAAACUGGUCUUUACUGAGCAUACAAUGUAAAACUGGCAAGCACAGGAUAUUUAAGGAUCCAAUGAGGAGCCUGUUGAGGGUUUCAUAGAUGGGUUGUAAAAAGGAAAAGACAAAAAAAGACCUUACCUGACCUGAUUUCCUUUCAGAAAGGCCGAGUGCAUGUGUCAGCCUGGACAAUGGAAGCUGACAUGAGAUAAGGAAAGGGCAGGGACUGGAGAGGAAUCUGGCAGAGGGAAGAGCCACACCAGAGUGAGAGUUCAGAGUCAAAUAGUAGAGUCUGGGCCUGCCUUCCUAGGAGACAAUAAAGACUGAAAUGUGAAUAGGCAAGAAGUUGAUACCUACCAGGAAGUAUACACUGCACGUGAACUAUUGGAGCAGUAAAUAAUCUUUGUGACAACUUCUGCACACUAAGUAUGAAAAUUAAAUUGUUUGAUGUUAUAUAGCUAAGCCAUGGAACAGCCAUGAGUUAACUUUGGCUUUUCAGUCCUUGUGCCCCAGCUUAAUAAUGGGGAGCUGUGUUCUAUUACUAAUGGAAAGCUAUUAAAAUUAUCUGUCUCUCACCCUGAAGCACUCACAUCUCAGGAUGCCUGGUGGUAAGAGAUGCCUAUGGCCAGGAUACUUGGGGAGCUAUUUAUCAUGCUAUUGAUGUAUACAUCAAUAUGUAAAUGUCUUGAGAAAAGCUGCAACAGGGCGAAUGAAUUAUUAGCACUCUGGUGCCAGUGGGCAGUGGAAUAGAAAAAGUAAAAGUAUGGAGUGAGUUUUGAAGCAGUUUAUUUUAUGUGUGUGGGUGUCUUGCCUGCCUGUUUGUAUGUCUGUACAUCAUGUGUACCUGGAGAGGACUCGAGGGCACUGGAUUGCCUGGACCUGACUUUGCAGAGGGUUGUGAGUCUCCUUGUGGGUUCUGGGAAUCAAACCCAAGUCCUUUGCAAUAGCAUCCAUCUUAUUCACUGAGCCAUCUCUCCAGCCUCUGGAAACUGUUUUAGUUAGGAAAUGCAGUACUGAGGGUCACAGGAUUCCUGGCUGGGACCUCAGAAGAGUACUCCAGGACUGACAGGAAAGGAUAUACUUAUCUAGAAGAAAAAGGAAGAGUAGGAAAGUGGAUUCCAAGCAAGGAAAUAUCUAGGGCAAAAUUCAUGCUGUGGGAGGGAGGGAGGUAGUGAAGUGAGGAGAAAAGAGGGACUUAAUUUUUCAGGAGCUAAACCCCAGGGAUGAAGCAAUAUGAGUAGCUAAGUAGACAGGGCUGGGUCUAAACUUCAUUUGCCAUGGAAGAAGCUUUAAAAAAGUGAGGUCAUUGGGAAAAUGCGCGGGACCACACUGGGGGAAGAGAGCUAACAAGGAUGCAGCUGAGAACCCAGUUUGGUAACUAGUAAACGUCUGGAUGAGAAAUGACAGUGAAAGCAGACGGGAAAAGACUGAGAGGUUAAGUUGAGAGACAUCCUGUGUCUUGGUAUGUGAGACUAUAAUGGAUAAGGGGGAAGGAAAGGUGGCUGAAGGCAGCCCAGGAGCAAACCUCAGAAGGAAGAGACAGGGAGUCUUGGAAUCUAAAGAAAGCAUUCUCUGCCUACUGGAAGAGUAGUGCAUGCUCUUAAGUGAUGAGCCAUCUCUCCACUCCUUCAUUUAAACCUAUACCUUAUGUCAGGAUCCUGGGCAAUAAAUUGGGUGAGGGGAGUCACCUUCCUGGUGCAGCCACAUUGAAUAAAUUUCUCUCUGUCUUUGACUUUCUUGGCUCCUUAAUUGGACUAUUGAGGACAAGUGACUGAGCCUAGUUUUUAAGACUGCCAGAGCCCCAGUACCAAAGUAAAAUCUAGCCUGGAAGCUGUGACUCUAUUGCUGGGGCCAGAAGUGUGUUAGACUGUAAGGAAACAGCCUGUAAAUGUAGGCCAGGGCUCUAGAACCACAGAACGAGCAAGCCUGAGGGCUCCAGACACAAAUCUCUUAAUAGGAUAGAUAGGAUAGUGAGGAGGGAGCUGAAGAAACCGACCCAGGGAAACAUCCUCAGAAGGCAAGAGAGGACCAGGCAGAACCCUCAGAAAAGGGGUAGAAUGUUUUUCAAAACGGGAAACACACUUAUGAUAUUUGAAGAAUGUUUUGGUUCUUCGGGAACAAGACUUUGGGGAUAAAAGACAACUCUAAAAAGUAAAGUAAGAACUCAAUGGUAAAACCCUUUUGCUGAAGAUGCCAUACACUCCAGGAAUUGGAGUUGGAGGAAAGGAGAUGGAGAUGUAAUUAACCUGGAAUCCUCUUCCCUGAACAGAAUCUGAAGGUACUAUGCAAGAGUUCCAAUAACAAUGAACUUCAACAUCUGUACAUAAUAUUGAGAUUUAAGUUAAUGUUAUGUAAGGACAUAAUUAAUUUGCAAUAUGACAAGGGAACACCAGAUGUUGAUAUUUCUCAAGAAGCAAAAUUGGAAUGUCAACAAAUGUUGACAUUUGAAGAACAUAGGCAUCCCUCAAUUUCUAAAAAAUACUUGGGAUAAAUUAUGUCCAAAUAUCUCAGAUGUUUUUCUGUUUUACCUAACCUUGAACAUGCUGACCUAAGAAUCAGGCUUCCUUGCUCAACUGUAAACUUUUAACUUUGUUAUCAGAAGAGCUAUAACAUUAAAGAUGAACCAUUUGCAAUGUGCACGUAUGUGCUUCCUUGCUAUGGAUUCCCAUUUCAGUUCUUCUGAUAUUCAUCACAAGAAGUGAUUUGACCAAUUUCUCACAUAGGAGUACCUGGGAAACUCUAAGAAUCU